rnacentral:lncRNA from 1 species
GCCCCGCUCACGCGGCUGAGCCAACGUUGUGUCCUUCAUAGAGCCUUCUAUGCCACACAUGCCUGCCAGGUGCUAUUUUUUUUUUAAUUUAGAUAUAGAUACUUUAUUUACAAAUAUUUAGAUUAAUAGCAUGUUAUUACAUCAAAUUAAGAGUACAGCAGUCCGAAUAAGUCCUGUUACAAAAGCGAGAAAACCACUGUAACUAACUUUGGGAAUUGAGAUCUUCAUCUUCAUCUUCAUCUUCAGGAAGACUAAUGAACAAAUACAUGUAAAACUCUUGAAAUAGUGCCUUGCACAGUGAAGACCAAUGUAAAAAUCGCUAUUAUUGUUAUUGGUGUCCCAUAACCAUCAUCCUUUAACGAUGAGAUCCUCUUCAACUCUGUCUCCUUCAGCCCUACCCUUACCUCUACCCAUGCCUCCUUCUCACAUCUCAUUCAACAGCUCCCCGAAAUAGUUCUGGAGUUGGAGUUUUCAUCGGUACUCUGGGAACAGAGCCUGCCACCCAACACCUCAGCCGGAGCAGAAAACAGUGUGGUGCUUUCUCAAGAAGUACAACAUGGAAUUACCACGUGACCCAGCAAUUCCACUCCUAGGAGUAGUUCUUAUGUAUUGUACAGCAUUCUGCAAAUGAAGAAAACACAGAAGGGCCACCUGGCUGGCUCAGUGGGUGGACUGUCAGUGCAACGCCUGAUCUCAGAGUUAUGAGUUCAAGUCCCACAUUGGGUGUAGAGAUUACUUUAAAAAAAUAAAAUCUUAAAGAAAGAAAAAAAGAAAACACAGAAGAAAAUGAAAUCACUGUGAUGUGAUUCUAU